GACGAACGCUGGCGGCGUGCUUAACACAUGCAAGUCGAACGGAAAGGCCCUGCUUUUGUGGGGUGCUCGAGUGGCGAACGGGUGAGUAACACGUGAGUAACCUGCCCUUGACUUUGGGAUAACUUCAGGAAACUGGGGCUAAUACCGGAUAGGAGCUCCUGCUGCAUGGUGGGGGUUGGAAAGUUUCGGCGGUUGGGGAUGGACUCGCGGCUUAUCAGCUUGUUGGUGGGGUAGUGGCUUACCAAGGCUUUGACGGGUAGCCGGCCUGAGAGGGUGACCGGCCACAUUGGGACUGAGAUACGGCCCAGACUCCUACGGGAGGCAGCAGUGGGGAAUAUUGCACAAUGGGCGGAAGCCUGAUGCAGCAACGCCGCGUGCGGGAUGACGGCCUUCGGGUUGUAGACCGCUUUCGCCUGUGACGAAGCGUGAGUGACGGUAAUGGGUAGAGAAGCACCGGCUAACUACGUG
rnacentral:rRNA from 1 species